rnacentral:rRNA from 1 species
AUUGAACGCUGGCGGCCGGCCUAACACAUGCAAGUCGAACGAGUGGCGGACGGGUGAGUAAUGUCUGGGAAACUGCACGAUGGAGGGGGAUAACUACUGGAAACGGUAGCUAAUACCGCAUACCAUCGGAUGUGCCCAGAUGGGAUUAGCUAGUCGGUGGGGUAACGGCUCAACUAGGCGACGAUCCCUAGCUGGUCUGAGAGUAUGACCAGCCACACUGGAACUGAGACACGGGCCAGACGCCUACGGGAGGCAGCAGUGGUGAAUAUUGCACCAUGGGCGCAAGCCUGAUGCAGCCAUGCCGCGUGUAUGAAGAAGGCCUUCGGGUUGUAAAGUACUUUCAGCGGGGAGGCGUUACCCGCUGAAGAAGCACCGGCUAACUCCGUGCCAGCCGCCGCGGUAAUUC